rnacentral:rRNA from 1 species
UACGUAGGGUGCAAGCGUUGCCCGGAUUUAUUGGGCGUAAAGGGCGCGUAGGCGGCUCUGCACGUUCGUUGUGAAAUCGCCCGGCUCAACUGGGCGGGGUCAGCGGAUACGGCAGAGCUUGAGCAAGCUAGGGGGCAAUGGAAUUCCCGGUGUAGUGGUGGAAUGCGUAGAUAUCGGGAGGAACACCAGUGGCGAAGGCGGCUUCCUGGACCGGUUCUGACACUGAGGAGCGAAAGCGUGGGGAGCGAUCCGG